UGCAUGCAUCAUAUCAAACAUUAUUGACUUAUUGUCCUGAAGUAAAUUAAUGAUCAAAUAAUUUUUUAAUUGUAGCUACUAAAAGACAUAGAAAUAAAAGAAAUAACAAAGUCCAUAGCAUGAUUUCUAACAUUCUCCGCAGUCACAUUGGUGAUUAGUACAUUUUUGAAAUUUGCACGAAUCAAAACAACUAUUUUUGCAAUCACUAUUUUUAAAGCAACUCCCAAAAUAUUGAUUUGGUUGGGCCAGCUUUGGUUGACAUGAUGAUCCAGCACAAUCUUGCACAUAUCGUCCAGGUUUCAUUAGUUCCCUUGCAUUUGAUAUACAGACACCUAUAAAACAGAAUUUAGUAUAUGCACUUUCAUUCCAAAUAUCAAACUAGUUAGGCAUCACACACACGCAUAUAUAUAUAUAUAUAGAGAGAGAGAGAGAAAGAAACAAACAUGAAAGGAGUGCGACCAGAACAAUAAGCAAUGUUGUGUUUGAUACUGUCAUGUCUUUUACAAUUUGUACUCGAUGUUUAUGUUUUAUGAUUGUGCUUUGAGAUUUUUUAUAUGUCUUAGUGUCUAUUUAUAUAAUGUUACGAGGCAUAGAAAUGGUAGGUAACAUAUACAAUCUCUUCUCUGAGUAAUAAGUUGUAACCAAUACAUGAACAAUAGAGAAGAAGAAGAAUCAAAGGAAUCAAAGAAAAUGGAAAGGAACAAAACAAGAAUAAAAUCCAUAGUAUAGACUCAAAUUUACACAAAAGUCAACCAUUUCCACAAAUUGUACAAUUUUUUAAAAAACAUGUUUAAUUAUGUCUCUAAAUUUGGUGAUAAAUAUUUUUUUACAUAUAUUUAAGUAUAAAGUAAUCGCUUAUAGUUUAAUUUUCUAAUAUAACUGUAUUUAAAUUAGUUUAAUUUAAUAAUUUUACUUUUUUCAUUUUCCUAAAUAAUAAUUAUUAUAUUGCUAUAUUUAUUUUUUAAAUGAAAUUUUACUUUUGUUAUUUUUAGUUAAAAAAUUAACUUAUAAAAUUAUUUAUUAAACCUAAUGAAUUGAAUGCUAAACACUUAAUUAAAUUGUUUUAUCACAUUUAAAUUUUAAAUACGCUCAAUAAUUUAGAGAUUUGAGUAAGUUUAUUAUUACAUUGAAUAUUAAACUUAAAUAAAACUUUAUUUAUUUAAAUAUUCGAAUAUAUAUAUUUAUAUGAUUAUAUAAAUAUGAUUAAAAUGUAAAUAUCUAUAACAAAUUAAUUUAUGAUAACCACACAUAAAAUAACUUUUGGGAAGUAAUAUUAUAUAAUUUAUAAAUAAUAUGGUAAUAAUACAAUUUUAUAAAAGUAAUAUUAUAUUAUUUGAAAUAUAUAUUUUUUGUAAAAAUAGACAACUUUUAAAAAUAUGAAAUGCAUUUUAUUUUGCAAAAAAAUAUUAUUUGCAGAUUUUAAAAUAUCAACAAAUGCUAUAAUAUAAAAGGGUUUUUUCAAAUAUGACCCAAAGCAAAAAGUCUUAUGCAAAAGCAAUCGAUGAUUUUUUUUGAAAUUUUUAUUUGUCCUACUCAAACCUAAAAAUUUGAAUUAUUCACGAAAAUGUGAUUAUAUUAAAAAUGAGUGUUUUACUCUAUCAUCUUCAUCUUCAUCUUCAUCAAGUAUUUAUAAUAUUGUCAAUUGCCAUACCACACUAACCACCAUGAACAACCAAUUUGAAACUCUUAAUGAACCUAGAAAAUCAAUUUUCACAGCUCUUAUCUCAUUCAUAUGCACAUAAACUAUGAGUCCGACUGGUAAGGACUUUCCCUUUAGGCUUUGGCUUUAUCAUUAUGGCUGUAGAGAAUUUGGAGGUUAAGACUUUGGCUGUUAGUUUAAGUUUUAUUAAAAUAAAAUUGGUAGUUAAAAUUAUAGAAGUAUGAAAUAAUAUUUAAAAUAUUGUAUUUAAAAAGUAAAAUUAUACUACUAUUAAUAGUUUAAAUAUAUAUAUAUAUAUGAUUGUAAAAGUAGUACAAUAUGGAUCUCAAAUGAACAAGAAAAAAAAUUCAAUGAUUAAUUUGUCGAUUAUAAAUUUUAAUAAAAUUGUUACAAAUUUAGAUAAGUGAUUUAGUUACAAAGAGAAAAAGAAAAAAAAAUAUUUUUAGUGAAAAACAAAAAGAAAGAAAAAAAGUUGCAAAAGUCACGUAUGGCUUUAGAAAAAACAACACAAAGAGAAGAGAGAAAUUUAUAAUGACUUUAUAGAAUUUAGAAUGAUUAUUUUUUAAAAUAACCUUAUUGGUAAAAAAUAACUUUAGAGACUUUCUAAUCCCAGAAAGCCCUCAAAGCCCUCAAAGCCUUAACACCAAUCGGACCCUAUAUCUAUUUCACUUUCUCUAUACAUUCAUCCAAAAAAUCUAAGAUUUUGAUUCCAAACUUUGCAAAGUUCAUAGAGCAAUUCAAGCUCAUGAUUCUUGCUCAAGAACAAGUGGGUAACUUUCACUAAAAAGUUAUGUGUGCUUAGAGAAGCUAAACAUGAACCUCACCGGGAUAAAAAUGUUUUUUGAAUUUUUUUAAGAUUUGUUUUGCCGAGAAGACUUCUAUGAAAGUCUUAAGGUCAAUGCAUAUGUUAGUUUUGAAAAUGACUUUCGGUGUGUUUUUAAAGACUAUUUCUCUCGAAAUUUUCAACUUUUCUUUGUUAGCAAAAAUAUGAGAAACUUCUCGAUUAAACAGGUUAGUUAUGCAAUUGAACGAAUUGUGUCAGAAAUUUGACUUUCUAUAGAUGACUUCCCGUGGAAAUCUUAUGUCGGAAAACUCUUUGGAAGUCUUCUCAACUGUCGAUGGAAGUUUAGGUUGGAGGAUAAAAGUGGUUAGUAUAACCCUAAAAAGUGGUAUUAUAAAUGUGAUAUUUUAAGCAAUUUUUCAUGUGGAACUUGUUAUGUUUACUCAAAAAAAAAUAUUUAUAGUGUGUAAAAUUUCGAAAUAUAAUAUUUGGCUAACCAAGUUAUGCGGAUCAGAUCAUCCAAUGUAAGAAUACAUAAUUACAAAUAUCAGGAUUUUUUUGGAUACCUGAAGUAAUCAAUCUGGUUAACAAAAGUAAAAUUUGUGCAAGGAACUUAAUUGUCCACUCAUCUUUUAUUAAAUUAGAGUCAGUAUGGUUAGUUUAGAUAUCCAAAAUAUAUGCACCUUACCUCUACACAAUAUCUUUAAAACAAACAAAAACAUAUUUCUUAAACGAAGCAAAAGUAAAUUGAGAAACAAGAAAGUGCAUGCAUCAUAUCAAACAUUAUUGACUUCUUGUCCUGAAGUAAAUUAAUGAUCAAAUAAUUUUAUAAUUGUAGCUACUAAAAGACAUAGAAAUAAAAGAAAUAACAAAGUCCAUAGCAUGAUUUCUAACAUUCUCCGCAGUCACAUUGGUGAUUAGUACAUUUUUGAAAUUUGCACGAAUCAAAACAACUAUUUUUGCAAUCACUAUUUUUAAAGCAACUCCCAAAAUAUUGAUUUGGUUGGGCCAGCUUUGGUUGACAUGAUGAUCCAGCACAAUCUUGCACAUAUCGUCCAGGUUUCAUUAGUUCCCUUGCAUUUGAUAUACAGACACCUAUAAAACAGAAUUUAGUAUAUGCACUUUCAUUCCAAAUAUCAAACUAGUUAGGCAUCACACACACGCAUAUAUACAUAGAGAGAGAGAGAGAGAGAGAGAGAGAGAGA
rnacentral:lncRNA from 1 species